ACGUCACUUCAUCAUUUGUUACAUGAGGAGGUGGGUAGAGUAGACAGUGUGUUUUUCAUCAUGCUGACUUAUGAGAGUUAACUUUUUAUUGUCAUUGCACAGUUUUACCUACUACAAUAGUACAAUGAAAAUGGGUUCCAUGUUGGCACUACACACAGCACAACAGGACAACAACACAGUAACUUAACGUAAUAAUUAAAAAGACAUUGGACUAAGUGCAUAAUAAAUAGAAUUAGUAUAUGUUUUAUUGCACAUUAUUAUUAUUAUUAUCCUGUAUGUCCAAUGAUUUUUUUACCCUCUGAAGUGCCUUUUUUGUGCCAUGGUGCUGCUGGAGAACCACACACAGAUACAGUUGUCAGCACACUUUCAAUGGAGCAGCUGUAGAAGACGAUCAGCAGCUCCUUCCUCAGGUCCUCUUUUCUUCUCUGACAUGGAAAUUGUUUCCUUUCAACAUUCACAAAGGAUCUUCCAUUUCCAUAAAUGUGCCUGGAGGUGAUGAAGAAAAAGGUGUAUCUGAUGUGGAAGUCUUUUAGAAAGUGCUGUGAUAAAUACCUGCACAUAUGAGCACAGACUGUGUGCAGGUGAUGGAGUUUGUUGACACCACGCUUACUUUGAAAUUAGUGUUUAAGGACCAAAAGAUAUGAUUAGAACCUAGUUACACAGUGAGCUCUAAUAUAAUGCAGAGUCUAUGGAAUGAUGUUUAUGUCACAACAAAUGUGCAAGCAAAUAAUCACAGGCACAAUCAACUUCUUUGUACGUAAAUUCAACAACUCAUGUGCGCAGAACUCUGCUGCACACAAAGAAGCCAUCGUUAACACCUAAUUGUCUCCUUUGAAUGUUCUGGUACAGUUUUACACUUUAGUGAGUAGCUGUCUCCACUUGGAGAGAAACCCUUCUUGUGAGUGUAAAGAUAUUGUUAACUGUCUGGAGGCAGAGCCCAAAUCAUGAUGGGGUCCUAACUAAUGGACCCUUUGGGUUACUGUGUUAAACUGAGUUACACAGUGUCAGAAACGCUCAUUUAGACUGUAUUUGGUAACAAUUAAAGUUUGCUGAAAUAAUUAUUAACAGUUAUUGUUUGUAGUGCAGCAGUGAAAAUACUGACAACAGUCCCUGGAGUAUUUACAAUCCAGGGAUAUUAAUUAAAAUAUUUCGAACCAAAAGAGUCUAAGGCAACUUCUGAAGCUCUGCAAUUCUGUUCUAUUAUUCUGUUGGACAGUAUCACAUAGUUUCUAUGACGUAAUAAGUAAAAAAUGAAAAACUGAGAAUCAGGAAAGGAAGUGUGGAUCCAAAUCUGGCAAUUAGAA